UAACAGGACAGCUGGAUGUGGGAGCCCUGGAUAGCAGUGUCUCCAUUCACAUCGCGUGCUCCUUGCGCCGGAACUUGAAGUUUACAGGGAGGGAGGACCAGAACAGCACAGCGCUGGGGGGCUCCUGAAGAAAUCCCCAGCCACACCUGAAGGUAGCCGGGUCUCGGGAAGCAGCCAUGGCAUAGGCUGUAGACCCAGGACGCAGUCUUUCAAUAGUUCUAAACCUUUUGGUUCUAAGAGCUGUCUGGGAACUUCCCUGCAGGCUGCAGGUGCCCCAGUAUCCCACAGAGCAUCAUGGACUCUGCACCCUCCCCAGGAAAUGUUUGCUGUCACAUCCACUCUGGCACAUGCACUUCUGAGAGUUUUGAUCACCACUCUUCUACUACCAGAUUUAACCAGACUAGAUUUCCUUUGUCCUGUAGUGUGGGCUGUCCUCUGACCACUUCCAGGAAGCCAUCUCUGGAACAGGGCAGUAUGUACAGGGUACCUGGCCAUAGGAGUGGCAGGAUGGGGAAAGUAGAGUGUGUGUGUGUGGAUGGGGGGAACCACAGAGAUAGGAAGAAACAGGUGGGAGAAGAAGCAGAGAGGAGGAGGGGAGAGGAAGCUGGUGGAAGGAGACAGGAAUGGAGAUCCCCAAACCUCCAGCAAUCCAGCUCAUACCAGAAGAUUAGAGGGAUGUGUCAUUGGGAAACAGGUUUUAUUUUUUUUAAACAUGUCUUUUACGUUGUUAGUGUAAUUAUUGCAACUUGUUAAAAGUUUCUUUUAAGGAAUUAUUUAUCUUAGAUUUCAGUGCAGACACACACACACACACACAGAGAGAGAGAGAGAGAGAGAGAGAGAGAGAGAGAGAGAGAGGAGAACAUUUGUGUGCAUCCGCACUGGGUCCUGCCUGCUUGUUUAUGAAGAAAUCAACAUGUGUGCAUGAUGGAAGAUUCAUAGAGUAAUUAGAUAGAGUGAUUUCUUGGUGGUCUUCCUGUCUGAGGAGCCACAGAUAACCACAGGGAUUCCUCUUUCCCAUCUCACUCCCCAAUGUUUCUCAUUCCCUAUUAACCAAUGGCCCAGGCACUACAUGCCCUGCUAAUGGGCCCCAAGUCUGUGUGCAUCACUGUAAACUUCCAGCCUUUCCUUUCUCACUUAGAGCUGCCCUUCCCCCAGGUCCACAUCACUUUGAGAGUCUUCACUAUCUUUCUCUGGCAACAAUUAAAUGCCACCAAUCAUGCUAAUAUCCACAAAGCUCUACCAUUAGUAAAUGUCAAAUUGUAUGACAGUUCCAUGGACAUUUGUUUUCUUCAGUAAUGAAAUAAAUGCUACAAGUACAUCAUACACACAA